rnacentral:misc_RNA from 1 species
UUUUUCAAUUAUAACUGAUUUUUUCUCACUCCACAUUGCCUGUCUCCUAAAUUAAAUGAAACCUGGAAAAAAAUACAAGCUCACCCAUUUCUUAGUAAGUCAACAAUGUAGCUCAAUAGAUUGAAUUUUAUUGUUAUUAGGAUGCCAUUUUUGGUGUCCAAAUGGUCUUACGAGAAUAACCAUAAAGUAAUCACAGGGAUGUUGAUGUUUAGCCUUUAAAAUUGUGGACACAGCCCAUGAAAACUCAGUUGCUCUGCUGUACCUGCCAAAUGUAAACUGUGAGAAAGUCUAAUAACCGACUAAUUAAUACGGCCAUUGUUUGUGGCCUGGACGGAUUUAAACGUCUAAAUGAACCCUGUCAACAUUUCAUUUUUAUAGCCUCAAAGCGAAAUCCAGACUUCAGCUUACCUCCCAAUUCGCAUAUAUCACAAUUGCCUCUCAGGCUCAGCUUUGACCUCAACCCCGAUCCCUUUCUCUUUCCAGUGGGCGGCUAGGCGUACCCAUGUUGAUGGGUCAGCGCUUUUCCUUCCCCUCUCAAGGGAAGGACCAGAACAUAACUUUUGCCUCCAUGAGUCGAGCACACCUAGAGGUGGCCACAAGUCGAUUGCAUUUUGCGAUCGAGACACCUAAAAUGGUUAAUUUAGUUAGAAGUAUGCUGAUUUGCAGACUGAUUGCAACCAGAAGCUGACAUUUUUUACUAGAAAGGGUAACUCCAUAUCACUAAAAUUGCAGCUAGAAGCUGACAUAUUUUACUAGAAAGGGCAACUCCAUAUCACUAAAGAACGAUCACAUCAAUGCAGCUAUGCAUUAACUAACAAUUCUUGCCAACCACUUUAGCAAAAGGAAUACUACAAAUUCUCUCUUUGGUCCAAAUAUGACAAGUGUAUUGACUAAAGGAUACAGUGGGGACCGAACAGGCAAACAAUACCGUAUCUCUUACAAUUGCUAUAGAAUAGACAAAUGAACUGGCAGCAAGAAUUUCUUGGACUCCACACACCAGCAAUAUCAGCGUUGGAUACCAUAUCAUGGUCCACGGAUGGAAACCACAAGCCCACCAGUGAAAUAGAUUCAUUAAUCAUUCACUGAAUCGAGUAGCAUUGUGCCGUUGUCAAUAGUUUUUGUGGUCGCAUAACAAGAACCAUAAAAAUUGGGAAUAAAAGACAUCCAUAUAUUUCAACUACUUUUAAACAGGAUGACCAUUGUCAAGUACGAGUACUAAAGCACUAAACCCCAUUUUUAAUGGUCUAUCAUCUAUCAACAUCAUCUCACGUCUGAGGUAACCAAACCCCCAAAAAUCUCUCAACAAAGAACUACUAACCCAAAAAGAUAGCAUAGAAUAACCUUCAAAAUGGUACUUAAGCAGCAAAUAAGAUGUCUCCAUCAUUAUGCAACAACGGCCUCUUCCUCAUGAAGAAGCAUCUGGUCGAAGUGCCAUACUCCUGGUGAUCCACCGAAACAAAUUUAGAAAACAAAAAAAUGCACAGAAAAGCUUAUGUAUAUAAAGGAUGAGUAUUUGUCCAAGGAAAAAUUCAUGUAUAAUAAGAUGAUGAGAGAACUUUGUUUAAGAGAAAUGGUUGUGAAAGAAAUGGCUAUGAAACAAGAUUUUGGGUUCAUACCAUGCCCUUUGCCCACUCUUCUCAACUGAGCAACAUAUUCAGAGAUUUUUUUGAUGGCUUCCACCUGCAAAGGAAACCAUCAAAAGGCCAAGCUCAAAUUUCAACACAUGCAUAUGUCAGUAGCAUCUAAGCUGUUCAUGAUUUGCAAAAAAACAAAUGCCCAAUGACUUAACGAAGAAGGUAAACACAAAAGUUAUACCUGUUCUGCUAAGAACUCACGUUCAACAAACUCACCCAACUGCACAUCAUGGUUUCGCUCAGCCACCUGUUGGUCAAAGUUGCAAUCAAAAUGUGAUGCCAGGGCUAACAAAUAUAGCAACUUCAAAACAUUUGUUUGAACUAAUCAUGCAUUAAAUUUUAAAAAACAUCUACUUCAAAUUUAAGCAAAAACAUCUAAGCAGUGAAAAUUUCUUACACUGUGUAAGUUCAGGAG